GGACGAACGCUGACGGUGUGCUUUAGACAUGCAAGUCGAACGCGAAAGCCCUUCGGGGUUAGUAGAGUGGCGAACGGGUGAGUAACACGUGGGCAAUCUGCCCCUCGCAGGGGGACGAACCGGAGGAAACUCCGGCUAAUACCCCGUACGCUUGCGGAACCGCAUGGUACCGCAAGGAAAGGUAGCUUCGGCCAUCCGGCGAGGGAUGAGCCCGCGGUGCAUUAGCUAGUUGGUGGGGUAACGGCCCACCAAGGCGACGAUGCAUAGCUGGUCUGAGAGGAUGAUCAGCCACACUGGGACUGAGACACGGCCCAGACUCCUACGGGAGGCAGCAGUCGGGAAUCUUGCGCAAUGGGCGAAAGCCUGACGCAGCAACACCGUGUGAGCGACGAAGGCC
rnacentral:rRNA from 1 species